ACAAGGUCUCACCAUGUAGGCCAGGCUAGCCUGGAACUUGUACUGAGCUUCCUGCUAGGAUUGCUGGCAGGUGUCAUCCUCUGCUGGCACUAGAGACUCAACCUACAGCCUUAUAAACGGGCACUCAAUGAUCCUGAUCUGCGCAGACCUGGCUGGAAAGUCUGUCUUCUUCCUACCUAUCUCGGUGCUGCUGUCCAGCCUCUGAACAUUCUCUCCGUCGUCUCGCUGGGAAUGAAUGGGAAGACGAAGAAAACACUAUGCCUGUCCUCAACACCAGAAAUCUGUGGUGUGUCGCAAUGAAAAUUGUUUCAGAAUACCAGUACGUACUAAAAUGCAGUCCCUGGUUCUGGGCCACCACAGGCUGUCAGCCUGUCUUUUAUUUAAUUCUCUCAUGGUCAAGACGCCAGUGUCUCCCUCCAACCUCUUGCUUUGGGCUUUCCAUCGUCUUCCUUAACACAUCCUUCCUCACAGGUAUCUGCUUUUGCUCUCUUCAUUUUACAGAUGUGCAGACAGGUCAGGCUUGCUCUAAAGGAUUAUCCUAGACUCUAGUGCCAUUAGGGCUCGCAGGCUGGCCUGACAUGGGAGGUGGCCUUCCCACUGUAGGCACAGACAGACUGACUUUAGUCUGUGAGGAGUUUCUGAGCCUCAGUUUCUCUGUCUGCAAACCUCCUAGGGUUGUGGCAAGUAGUUCAUGAAUGACCUAGCUAAAGCGCUCACAGGCACAGAGGACGCCUGGGCCUCGGCAUUGGUCUUAAGGUUCUCCACCUCGCCAGUGAAGGAACCACCGUACAUGGGUGAAUAUGUGGUGGGCGCACUGUGAGGACACUGGGCAGAUGAGAGGGUGUAGGGCUAGAAGAGAGAGAAAACCCCAAAGGUCCGGAAGGCUGAGAGGGAGGCAGGGCACCAGCAGCAAACCGCGGCUAUUUGCAGCGUCGCCUUCGGUUUGCGGUCAGGCUGAAGCUGGAAGGCCCGGUGACCGGGGAUCGCAGCCCCGCCCGGUGCCCUCGGCCACCCGGGUGAAGCCCUGGCCCGUGAGUUCCCUUCUGCAAUGUUGAGGCUUGGGAAGCGGGUGGGCUGGGACGCCUAAGCCAGAUGACAAGGCCACCGGUCCUGGGUAGGGUAAGGUUCUGGGAGGAAACGCAG
rnacentral:sRNA from 1 species